rnacentral:rRNA from 1 species
UACAGAGGUCUCAAGCGUUGUUCGGAUUCAUUGGGCGUAAAGGGUGCGUAGGUGGCGAGGUUAGUCAGGUGUGAAAUCUCGGGGCUCAACCCCGAAACUGCACUUGAUACUGCCUUGCUCGAGUACUGGAGAGGAGAUUGGAAUUUACGGUGUAGCAGUGAAAUGCGUAGAUAUCGUAAGGAAGACCAGUGGCGAAGGCGAAUCUCUGGACAGUUACUGACACUGAGGCACGAAGGCCAGGGGAGCAAACGGG